rnacentral:rRNA from 1 species
GACGGGGCCCGCACAAGCGGUGGAGUAUGUGGUUUAAUUCGAUGCAACGCGAAGAACCUUACCUGGUCUUGACAUCCCGGAGACCCUUAGGAAACUAGGGGGUGCUUCCAUCUGGAAGAAUCUGGAGACAGGUGCUGCAUGGCUGUCGUCAGCUCGUGUCGUGAGAUGUUGGGUUAAGUCCCGCAACGAGCGCAACCCUUGCCUUUAGUUGCCAGCAGUUCGGCUGGGCACUCUAAAGGGACUGCCGGUGUUAAACCGGAGGAAGGUGGGGAUGACGUCAAGUCCUCAUGGCCUUUAUGACCAGGGCUACACACGUACUACAAUGGCCGAUACAAAGGGCAGCGACACUGCGAGGUGAAGCCAAUCCCGUAAAAUCGGUCUCAGUCCGGAUUGGAGUCUGCAACUCGACUCCAUGAAGUUGGAAUCGCUAGUAAUCGUGGAUCGGCAUGCCACGGUGAAUACGUUCCCGGGCCUU